CAACCUCAGAUCAGAUGUGGCGACCCGCCGAAUUUAAGCAUAUUACUAAGCGGAGGAAAAGAAACUAACCAGGAUUCCAUCAGUAACAGCUAGUGAAGCGGGAAGAGCCCAGUGCCAAAUCCCCGCCCGGGAAACAGGUGCAGGGAAUUGUGGCAUACGGAAGUCCAUCUCCCCGGCACCACCCAGGGAGCCCAAGUGCUUGUGAUUGAGGCUCAGCCCAUGGACGGUUUGAGGCCGGUUGCGGCCCCCGCCGUGUCUGGAUCAAGUGUUCCCGGAGUUGGGUUGUUGAUGAAUGCAGCCCAAAGCGGGUAGUAAACUCCAUCUAAGGCUGAACACCAGCACGAGACUGAUAGUGGACAAAUACCGUAAGGGAAAGUUGAAAAGAACUUUGAAGAGAGAGUUCAAGAGGACGUAAAACUGUUCAGAGGUAAACAGGUGGGGUCCGCAUGGUCUGCCCAGAGGAUUCAACUCAGCGGCUGCAUCGGCCACCUGGGCAAGGCGAAUCCCCCUCCGGGGGGACGGGACCGUCCCUAGAUGUGCAGGCCUCCAUCUGGCACAUUUCCUCCAUAGUGGUGUGCCGCGACCAGCCCUGGGUCAGCCGGGAAAGCUGAUUGGAAGAUGGAUCCCUUCCACGGAGGAGUGUGUUACAGGCCGCAGUAUCAGUCCUCGCCGUGCCCUGUGGUCAUGGAAGACUACCCGCCGAACCCUCCUUCGCCCUCACUACGGGACCCCCGGCUCCCAGCGGGACUUCGACUGGGCCGGAUUUUCCUCAGUGCGGCCCAACCGUGUCAUGCCGUCAGGCUCUCUUUGGGUGCCUGGGGUACUCAGCGACAUCGGUGACCCACCCGUCCUGUCUUGAAACACAGACCAAGGAGUCAAACAGGUGUGUGAGUCUGAGGGUGGGCAGGAGCCCCCAUGGCACAAUUAAAGUGAGGGCUGGUGUACACUGGCUAAGGCAGGAUCCCCAUUCCCCACGUGAGGGGCGCACCACCAGCCCAUCUCACCCAUCCCAUCGGGGAGGUGGAGCGUGAGUGUACCUGGUGGGACCCAAAAGAUGUUGAACUAUGCCUGGGCAAGGCGAAGCCAGAGGAAACUCUCGUGAAGGUCCGUAGCGGUAGUGAUCUGCAAAUCGGUCAUCCGACCUGGGUAUAGGGGCAAAAGACUAAUUGAAUCAUCUAGUAGCUGGUUCCCUCCGAAGUUUCCCUCAGGAUAGCUGGCGCUUGGCAGUCUGUUUUAUCUGGUAAAGCGAAUGAUUAGAGGUCUUGGGGCCGAAAUGAUCUUAACCUGUUCUCGUACUUUAAAUGGUUAAGAAGCCCGACUCGCCGGCUUGGAACCGGGUGUGGAAUGUGAGCAGCCAGUGGGCCACUUUUGGUAAGCAGAACUGACUCUGAGGGAUGAACUGAAUGCCAGGUUAAGGCGCCCAAUGCUGACGCUCAUCAGACCCCAGAAAAGGUGUCGGUUGAUAUAGACAGCAGGAUGGUGGCUACGGAAGUCGGACUGCGCUAAGGAGUAACAACUCGCAUAGCAAAUCAACUAACCCUGAAAAUGGAUGAUGGUGGAACUUCGGGCCCAUACCCGGCUGGCGCUGGGAGCCGAGGGGGCUACACCACGACAGCACUGAAGUUCAGGGCGAGGGCCCUGGUAGAGCCGUCGCGGGUGCAGAUCUUGGUGGUAGUAGCAAAUAUUCAAACAAAAGCUUUGAAGGUCAAAGUGGAGAAAGGUUCCAUGUGAACAGCAGUUGAACAUGGAUCAGGUGGUCCUGAGAGGUAGGCGAGCACCAUUCCGAAGUUACGGGCAACGGCCUCCGUCGCCCUCAGCCGAUCGAAAGGGAGUCUGGAGUGGCAGAGACUGGCGCCUUGCGGCAUCCAGUGUGGUGACGCAAACGAUCCCAGAGAAGAUGGUGGGGGCCUCUGGGAGAGUUCUUUUUUCUUUGUAAAGGGCAGGCUGCCCUGGAAUGGGUUCACCUGAGGGAGGGGCCUAUGCCCUGGAAAGUGUCACAGUUCAACAGCAUCAGGUGAGCUCUCACCGGCCCUUGAAAAUCCAGGGGAGAGGUGUCUCGCACCAGGCCGUACCCAUAUCAGCAGCAGGUCUCCAAGGUGAAUAGCCUCUGGCAUGUUAGAAUAAUGUAGGUAAGGAAAGUCAGCAAGCCAGAACCGUAACUUCAGGAUAAGGAUUGGCUCUAAUGGCUAGGUCUGUCGGGCUCAGCCCUGAAGUGGGGCUGGGCGUGUGCCGUGGCUGGACGAAGCGCUCCAGGGCCGGGAGUAUGAUGGAGGCAACUUUGGACGUGCGUCGGGCUCUUCCUGUCGAUCACCCCGGCUGUGGCGGGCACAGGUCCCGACAGGUGUCCCGGAUCAUCUGGCAGCUAGCAGCUGAUUUAGAACUGGUGCAGACCGGGGGAAUCCGACUGUUUAAUUAAAACAAAGCAUUGCGAAGACCAGAGACUGGUGUUGACGCAAUGUGAUUUCUGCCCAGUGCUCUGAAUGUCAAAGUGGAGAAAUUCAAUGAAGUGCGGGUAAAUGGCGAGAGUAACUAUGACUCUCUUAAGGUAGCCAAAUGCCUUGUAAUCUAAUUAGUGAUGAGCAUGAAUGGAUAAAUGAGAUUCCCACUGUCCCUCAAAAAAAGAGGCCAGCAGAUUCGAAGAAACAAACAUUUAUUACAUUUAUUACACUGUACAGACCGAUUUUGAUCUAAUGACCUUCCUCAAUGUAACAAACACUAAUCCAGGACUGGAUUAGUGUUUGUUACAUUGAGAAAGGUCAGUAGACCGAAAUCGGUCUGUACAUUGUAAUAAAUGUUUGUUUCUUUGAAUCUGCUGACCUCUUUUUUUGUGGUGCUACCUUUACUUUGGCCCUGCAGUUGCUGUCCGGGCGAGGAGUUUUGUUUACAGCAUAUUCCCACUGUCCCUACCUACUAUCUAGCGAAACCACAGCCAAGGGAACAAGCUUGGCAGAAUCAGCAAGGAAAGAAGACACUGUUGAGCUUGACUCAAGUCUGGCACUGUGAAGAGACAUGAUGGGUGUUGAAUAAGUGGGAGGCCUUGGCCACCAGUGAAAUACCACUACACUUAUCGUUUUUUCACUUAAUCGGUGAGGCCGGGGGGGCGAGCCCCACUGGGGCUCUCGCUUCUGGCUCCAAGCGACCGGGCAUCUGGGCACGACCCUAUUUGGGGACAGUGUAAGUUGGGGAGUUUGACUGGGGUGGUACACCUGUCAAAGAGUAAUGGAAGUGUCCUAAGGUGAGCUCAGGGAGAACAGAAACCUACCAUGGAGCAGAAGGGCAAAAGCUCGCUUGAUCUUGAUUUUCAGUAUGAAUACAGACCAUGAAAGCAGGGCCUCACGAUCCUUCUGGCUUUUAAGCAGGAGGUGUCAGAAAAGUUACUAAAGGGAUAACUGGCUUGUGGCAGCCAAGCGUUCAUAGCUAUGUCGCUUUUUGAUUCUUCUAUGUCGGCUCUUCCUAUCAUUGUGAAACAAAAUUCACCAACCAUUGGAUUGUUCACCCACUAAUAGGGAAUGUGAGCUGAGUUUAGACUGUCAUGAGACAGGUUAGUUUUAUUUAUUUUUUUUAUUUUAUUUUACAUUUGU